rnacentral:rRNA from 1 species
AUUGAACGCUGACGGCAGGCCUAACACAUGCCAGUCGAGCGGAUGAAGGGAGCUUGCUCCUGGAUUCAGCGGCGGACGGGUGAGUAAUGCCUAGGAAUCUGCCUGGUAGUGGGGGAUAACGUCCGGAAACGGGCGCUAAUACCGCAUACGUCCUGAGGGAGAAAGUGGGGGAUCUUCGGACCUCACGCUAUCAGAUGAGCCUAGGUCGGAUUAGCUAGUUGGUGGGGUAAAGGCCUACCAAGGCGACGAUCCGUAACUGGUCUGAGAGGAUGAUCAGUCACACUGGAACUGAGACACGGUCCAGACUCCUACGGGAGGCAGCAGUGGGGAAUAUUGGACAAUGGGCGAAAGCCUGAUCCAGCCAUGCCGCGUGUGUGAAGAAGGUCUUCGGAUUGUAAAGCACUUUAAGUUGGGAGGAAGGGCAGUAAGUUAAUACCUUGCUGUUUUGACGUUACCAACAGAAUAAGCACCGGCUAACUUCGUG